rnacentral:rRNA from 1 species
GUAGCACAGAAGAGCUUGCUCUUUGGGUGACGAGUGGCGGAUGGGUGAGGAAUAUAUCGGAAUCUACCCAAUCGUGGGGGAUAACGUAGGGAAACUUACGCUAAUACCGCAUACGAUCUGAGGAUGAAAGCGGCGGACCGCAAGGCGUCGCGCGAUUGGAUGAGCCGAUAUCCGAUUAGCUAGUUGGUGAGGUAAUGGCCCACCAAGGCAACGAUCGGUAGCUGGUCUGAGAGGAUGAUCAGCCACACUGGAACUGAGACACGGUCCAGACUCCUACGGGAGGCAGCAGUGGGGAAUAUUGGACAAUGGGCGCAAGCCUGAUCCAGCCAUGCCGCGUGUGUGAAGAAGGCCUUCGGGUUGUAAAGCACUUUUGUUAGGGAAGAAAAGCCGUUGGUUAAUACCCGACGGUGAUGACGGUACCUAAAGAAUAAGCACCGGCUAACUUCGUGCCAGCAGCCGCGGUAAUACGAAGGGUGCAAGCGUUACUCGGAAUUACUGGGCGUAAAGCGUGCGUAGGUGGUUUGUUAAGUCAGAUGUGAAAGCCCCGGGCUCAACCUGGGAAUUGCAUUUGAUACUGGCAGACUAGAGUGCGGUAGAGGAGAGUGGAAUUCCCGGUGUAGCAGUGAAAUGCGUAGAGAUCGGGAGGAACAUCAGUUGCGAAGGCGGCUCUCUGGACCAGCACUGACACUGAGGCACGAAAGCGUGGGGAGCAAACAGGAUUAGAUA